rnacentral:tRNA from 1 species
GCCCUGGUAGCUUAGUUUGGAAGAGUUUUGUCUUGGUAAGGCAAAGGUCACUGGUUCGAAUCCAGUCCAGGGCU